GUGGUGUCUCGCGAGAUCUCCGCUGCCCUCACGGCCCGGCCCGGCCCCGCCGCCAUCGCUGAGGGAGCCGCGGCCGUGAGGGCACCGCCGCCUCAGCCCCGGCAGCGAGCCCUCCGCCACGGCCCCUCGGCUCCUUCCCGGCGUCACAGAGGUCCCUGGGCGCAAGGCAGGGCUCUGAAGAGUCACAGAGUCCCAGAGGAGUUGUGGUUGGAGGGGACCUCUGGAGAUAUCCCAGUUCAGCCCCCUGUCAAGGCAGGGGCACCUGGAGCAGGUGGCACAGGGACACGUCCAGGAGCUGCCGUUACCUGCUCUGCAGGUGGAUGUCCACGGGGAUGAAGGUCACCGCGGGCUGCUGCGCCAGGCUGUGGCUGCUGUGCCCCACAGCAGGUGGCACUGCCAGCUUGGAGGCUUUGGGCUGCAGCUCCCGCCGCACUCGCAUGCGCCUGGCAAAGUGCCAGGGUUGAAUAAGUCAUGACAAGAGAUUGAGCGUCCCCAGCGAUGAAAGGACACCGCCGGCGAUGGAAGGAGCUUUCAACAGCCGCGCAGGCUUCUCUGUCUCCGGGAGGAAACCCCGCCGGAGCAGCCCCGGUGCCGUCCCCGACGGGCUCCCAGUUAAUGCAACAACUGCUCGAGCACCAGUUGAAAAGAAAAACGUGCGAGGACAUCUGCUCUCUAUUUCUUUCUGGUUUGGAGGUACCGAUAAAGAAUUCGUGUUUCCCGUGGUACAUCCACAGAGCCUCGCACGCAAACCCGGAGUAACCGCGCUGCAGCCGCCGCUGGGAACGGCGGCGGAAAGGGAGAGAGCUUUGGGGCAGAAAGGAGCGGAGCUUUGGGGCAGAAAGGAGCGGAGCUUUGGGGCAGAAAGGAGCGGAGCUUUGGGGCAGAAAGGAGUGCAGCUUUGGGGGGAAAGGAGCGGAGCUUUGGGGCAGAAAGGAGCAGAACUUUAGGGCAGAAAGGUUACAGGUAUCCCCGUUCGAGAGCGGUUCCCACACCCGACCUCAGCCGCGCUACUCACGAGGAUGCUGCGGGCUCGGGGCUCCGGCGCUGCCGCAGCGGCUCCCGCUCCGUCCGCCCGCCGGGGCUGCGGG